rnacentral:sRNA from 1 species
GAUAAACGAUGAGCCCCCAACUCAACUGGAAACUGACAAAACGGUGAGGAACGCUGCGCCCAAGACAGUUAAAUUUGAUCCUAGAAGUCACCAGCGGCCCAAACAAGACGAUACGAUGGCGUCGACUUCCAUCGCAGCCCAUCAGGUGUAAUUAGGAGCGGAUUAGUUAGUCAAGCCCCGGGCUCCACCUACAGUUCAAGAAAACAGCGGAAGCUCCAAGCAGGGUCUUUAGCAGAUCCAUCUUCACAGGGCAACAACCAACAGGAGAAUUCCGGCGCAGGUGAUGAUGAAGCAUCAUCACGGCAGCCACGGACUGCGAUUCCACCG